rnacentral:rRNA from 1 species
UACGGAGGGUGCAAACGUUGCUCGGAAUCAUUGGGCGUAAAGCGCACGUAGGCGGCUCGUUAAGUCGGAUGUGAAAGCCCCGGGCUCAACUCGGGAAGUGCAUUCGAAACUGGCGAGCUUGAAUAUGGAAGAGGGUCGCGGAAUUCCCGGUGUAGAGGUGAAAUUCGUAGAUAUCGGGAGGAACACCAGUGGCGAAGGGCGGCGACCUGGGCCAAUAGUUGAC